rnacentral:rRNA from 1 species
AUUGAACGCUGGCGGCAGGCUUAACACAUGCAAGUCGAGCGGUAACAGAGAGAAGCUUGCUUCUCUGCUGACGAGCGGCGGACGGGUGAGUAAUGCCUAGGAAUCUGCCUAGUAGUGGGGGAUAACUUGCCGAAAGGUAAGCUAAUACCGCAUACGUCCUACGGGAGAAAGGAGGGGACCUUCGGGCCUUUCGCUAUUAGAUGAGCCUAGGUCGGAUUAGUUAGUUGGUGAGGUAAUGGCUCACCAAGACCGCGAUCCGUAACUGGUCUGGGCGGAUGAUCAGGCACGCGGGAACUGAGACACGGGCCAGACUCCUACGGGAGGCAGCAGUGGGGAAUAUUGGACAAUGGGGGGAACCCUGAUCCAGCCAUGCCGCGUGUGUGAAGAAGGUCUUAGGAUUGUAAAGCACUUUAAGUUGGGAGGAAGAGCAGUUAACUAAUAUUUGACUGUUUUGACGUUACCGACAGAAUAAGCACCGGCUAACUUCGUGCCAGCCGCCGCCGUAA